rnacentral:rRNA from 1 species
GUGGGGAAUUUUGGACAAUGGGCGCAAGCCUGAUCCAGCCAUGCCGCGUGCAGGAUGAAGGCCUUCGGGUUGUAAACUGCUUUUGUACGGAACGAAAAGACUCCUUCUAAUAAAGGGGGUCCAUGACGGUACCGUAAGAAUAAGCACCGGCUAACUACGUGCCAGCAGCCGCGGUAAUACGUAGGGUGCGAGCGUUAAUCGGAAUUACUGGGCGUAAAGCGUGCGCAGGCGGUUAUGUAAGACAGAUGUGAAAUCCCCGGGCUCAACCUGGGAACUGCAUUUGGGACUGCAUAGCGAGAGUACGGCAGAGGGGGAUGGAAUUCCGCGUGUAGCAGUGAAAUGCGUAGAUAUGCGGAGGAACACCGAUGGCGAAGGCAAUCCCCUGGGCCUGUACUGACGCUCAUGCACGAAAGCGUGGGGAGCAAACAGGAUUAGAAACCCGUGUAGC